AUUGAACGCUGGCGGCAGGCUUAACACAUGCAAGUCGAGCGAGCGGCGAACGGGUGAGUAAUGUCUGGGAAACUGCCUGAUGGAGGGGGAUAACUACUGGAAAAGGUAGCUAAUACCGCAUACCAUCAGAUGUGCCCAGAUGGGAUUAGCUAGCAGGUGGGGUAAUGGCUCACCUAGGCGACGAUCCCGCGCUGGUCUGAGAGGAUGACGAGCCACGCUGGAACUGAGGCACGGUCCCGACUCCUACGGGAGGCAGCAGUGAGGAAUAUUGCACGAUGGGCGCAGGCCUGAUGCAGCCAUGCCGCGAGUGUGAAGAAGGCCUUCGGGUUGUAAGGCGCUUUCAGCGAGGAGGCGUUACUCGCAGAAGAAGCACCGGCUAACUCCGUGCCAGCAGCCGCGGUAAUAC
rnacentral:rRNA from 1 species